rnacentral:rRNA from 1 species
UUUGAAAUCUGGCGUCUUUGGCGUCCGAGUUGUAAUUUGAAGAAGGUAUCUUUGGGCCCGGCUCUUGUCUAUGUUCCUUGGAACAGGACGUCACAGAGGGUGAGAAUCCCGUGCGAUGAGAUGACCCGGGUCUGUGUAAAGUUCCUUCGACGAGUCGAGUUGUUUGGGAAUGCAGCUCUAAGUGGGUGGUAAAUUCCAUCUAAAGCUAAAUAUUGGCGAGAGACCGAUAGCGAACAAGUACAGUGAUGGAAAGAUGAAAAGAACUUUGAAAAGAGAGUGAAAAAGUACGUGAAAUUGUUGAAAGGGAAGGGCUUGAGAUCAGACUUGGUAUUUUGCAUGCUGCUCUCUCGGGGGCGGCCGCUGCGGUUUACCGGGCCAGCAUCGGUUUGGAGCGGCAGGAUAAUGGCGGAGGAAUGUGGCACGGCUUCUGCUGUGUGUUAUAGCCUCUGACGAUACUGCCAGCCUAGACCGAGGACUGCGGUUUUUACCUAGGAUGUUGGCAUAAUGAUCUUAAGUCGCCCGUCUUGAAACACGGACCAAGGAGUCUAACGUCUAUGCGAGUGUUUGGGUGUAAAACCCGUACGCGUAAUGAAAGUGAACGAAGGUGGGGGCCCAUUAGGGUGCACCAUCGACCGAUCCUGAUGUGUUCGGAUGGAUUUGAGUAAGAGCAUAGCUGUUGGGACCCGAAAGAUGGUGAACUAUGCCUGAAUAGGGUGAAGCCAGAGAAACUCUGGUGGAGGCUCGUAGCGGUUCUGACGU